GAUGUCUCUGUCAGUAGAGCAUGGAACUCUUAAUCUCAAGGUUGUGGGUUUGAGCCCCACGUUGGACA